AUGUGGUUAGUAGUGGCCAAGAAAUCAAAUAACUAUCAGGUGUGACAUACUAGGGUGUGAUAGGUUAGCUAUGGUCGAGUAGAACAGGCAAGAUGAGAUCACAAAGGUCCUUAUAGGAGUUAAAAAGAGAAUCCUGGCACAUAUACAGGUAGACUGAGUAACAUUUCUGACAUGCUCGUGAUGUGAUCAAUGAUUUAUGAGAAAAUUAUCUUGUUCGUUUUUAAGUGCUGAGUAUGUAUAAAAUCAUUUGUUUUUCCUUUCUAUACAUGUCUUGUUUUUACAAUUUGGAGAGAAAAAUAAAAGCUGCCUAGAUGUAAGCAAGUAGUUUAUAAUAUCAUUUUUAGUUCUUUACUGCCAGAGUUUGAAGUAUGAGAUUCCUGCUUUGAAGUUUUCAUUUCUAUUGUACUUAUUUAUUAAACUAAAGAUCAGUCAUUAUGUAACAAAUCUAUAAUACAUGAAACCAGAUUUUAGUGCUUCCUAGGGACAGAUCUUCAGGGUAUCCUUUCUUAUGUUAUGAUAACUUUAAAGAAAAAUCCAUUUCUCAGUUCUCUUUACUGAUUAUCUGUUCCUUUGUGUCACUCCAGAAAACAUCUGUAGAACCACAGAAUGUAAUAAAUAUGACUAAGCAAGGCGGAAGAAGCAUGUGGCUACUGCAUAAGAUGCGAUUAUUUUUCAGGAGAGAGGACUUAAACAUGCACCUGCUGAUGUGUGGUAGAAACUGAAGGAAGGUUCACCGGAGAACUGGCCUGGUUGCAGCCUUGCUGCUGCUCCAUACCAGUGAGGUGAACCAGUAGCUGAGCAACAACCUGAAUAAGUUGCAGCAGUGCCUGGACUCAGUCACAACCUGAGUGAGUUGCAGCAGAACCUACCAAGCAUAAAAGCAGUAUGUUGCUUGAUAAUUGCCUUUCAAAUAUUGUGCAAAAUAUCUCCUGUGCCUACCAUCAAUGAAAGUCUACAAGAAAGGAAUUUCUGGAAAAUGUAGUUCAGUAUGACAGAUUGACCCAUUACAAGCCACCUGAGAAAUCAACUAUAAAGUACAGAAGGAAAGAUAGGAUUCCCCCAAUAUUAAUUAAUUUGUAAUACUUUUAAUAACUACUUAUAUAUAAAAUUUUUAUUUAACAAUGGAAAUGAGUAUUUAUUCUUGUUUAUUAAGACAUCUAUUAUAUCUGUCUUAGUAUUUCCAGGAUGUUAAUUACUUGGAUGGAUCUUGAAAUCUCAAAAGAUUAAUUUGAUUAUGCUAAUGUAAAUAAUCAAAGCAAUGCAAAUCUGAAAACGUAAGAAGUAUGGUACAAAUAGUGGAAAAGAAUUUUCAUUUUUCAGCAACAUUUUCAUCCUUCUCUACCAUGAUAUGAACCAUUGGAGAUAAUUUUCUGCUAUGAUAACAGUCAUCUUUCCAUGCAAUCUGUUAGUGAGUCACAUCUUGCAAACAAGAUGCACUUUAAAGAAAGAGCCCUAUCCUGCGGCAUGUUAUAAUUAACUUAGGGAUGCAUCUUUAUAAAAGUCUGGAUCAAGUUAAGUUCCAUCAAUACCAAUUUUGUUCUUAAACACAGUUAGUCUACAUGUUCUUGGUGGAAUCGUUUUCUUUAGUGAGAAUAGUUUUGCUAAGUUUCCUAUAUAGUUUCUUAUUAUUUUAUAUACAAUUAGCCUAACACAACAGCUGUCUCUCAUUCAAGAAGUACCGCCUGGGCGCUGUGGCUCGCCUGUAAUCCCAGCAUCUCUUUGGGAGGCCGAGACGGGCGUAUCAC
rnacentral:lncRNA from 1 species